rnacentral:lncRNA from 1 species
GCCUGUUCCCAGCUGUGUCCCCACCACGGUGGCCUCUGAGGUCUGAGAGCCCGAGGAGAGGCGCAAAUGCCACACGAGGGGAUGUCCUGGGUGCACCCCUUCCUUCCGGCCCUCUCCCCUGCGAGGUCCUACAUCCGGGUGCUGAGCGCCUCCUGGGGCAGGGGGCCGCCCUUCCUCCUGCAGGGCCCUGCAGCACCGACAGGACCCUGCUGCGGGGUCCCUGCUGGGCUAGGCGAGCCUGAGCGCUUCCGCAGCCUCAUCUGGAGAGAACGAGUAAAAAUAGUCGGAUCUCCGUAUGCUCUAGGCCUGGCCGGGCAGGCGGGCGGCGUGGGCCUCGCAGCGACGUGUUGGAAGGAACGCUGCUUCCAGGGUCAGGAGCCUGGGCGGGAAGCGCUAAGCAGGCCCGCCAGGGCGAUGUUACCCCCUCGGAAGCGAGGCCGAGCGCGCAGGGCUCUUUCCCAAGGUCACGCAGCGCACAAUGCCUGGACGUGGGGUCGUAUUGCGGGAGACCUCGCGCUACACCGAACUGAAGAAUCGGAAACUGGUGGUGGGGUCCGGGAACUGGUGCUUUCACACGAUCCCCAGCCCAAGGUAGUGUGGCGCUGCCUUGGGGAUCUCAGGGGUCCCCCACUCCAAGAGUCAGUGAGCCCAAAGUCUUCUGAGAGGAGGGGCACCAGGGUCAGGAUCUGCCCCCAGGGGUUUGUAGGAGAGGAGAGCCAGUGCCCCCCACAACAUUCUUUAGAGCUCGCCAUUCCAUGCAUAUCUGUGUCCUAGAUCCAUUGUGGGGAACAGGGAAAGGGGACGUUACUAGAACCUCUGCAGUGAGUCCUAGUCUCCUGCGAGCCACAGCAGCACAAAGCGAAUUACAGGAAAGGUAGAAAAAUGAGACUGAGAAGCUGAGCUUUGGGUCUGAUCAGUGCUGCUCUGGGCGGCAGAGAGGAAAGCGCCCCGCUUACCGCACCUUUUAUUCAGUACUCAGUCCAUCGGGAGAAACAAAUUAACAAAUGACUUGCAGAGCGUUCAGUACAUCCGCGUAAACAAGAUGGUAGCAGUCCAAGAACGAUGAGGAACUGAGGAGAUGUUUCUUCUCCCAGGAUGCUUUCAGCUCCCAGGAUGUUUCUUGCCCUGUAGAAUCACAGCAUCACCGG